rnacentral:rRNA from 1 species
GACGAACGCUGGCGGCGCGCCUAACACAUGCAAGUCGAACGGAAUCAAGAGGAGCUUGCUUUUCUUGAUUUAGUGGCGAACGGGUGAGUAACGCGUGAGUAACCUGCCCUGGAGUGGGGGACAACAGUUGGAAACGACUGCUAAUACCGCAUAAGCCCACGGUGCUGCAUGGCACUGCGGGAAAAGGAUUUAUUCGCUCUAGGAUGGACUCGCGUCCAAUUAGCUAGUUGGUGAGGUAACGGCCCACCAAGGCGACGAUUGGUAGCCGGACUGAGAGGUUGAACGGCCACAUUGGGACUGAGACACGGCCCAGACUCCUACGGGAGGCAGCAGUGGGGGAUAUUGCACAAUGGGGGAAACCCUGAUGCAGCGACGCCGCGUGGAGGAAGAAGGUUUUCGGAUUGUAAACUCCUGUCGUUAGGGACGAUAAUGACGGUACCUAACAAGAAGCACCGGCUAACUACGUG